rnacentral:rRNA from 1 species
GGGUUGUGAGGUUAAGCGACUAAGCGUACACGGUGGAUGCCCUGGCAGUCAGAGGCGAUGAAGGACGUGCUAAUCUGCGAUAAGCGUCGGUGAGGUGAUAUGAACCGUUAUAACCGGCGAUUUCCGAAUGGGGAAACCCAGUGUGUUUCGACACACUAUCAUUAACUGAAUCCAUAGGUUAAUGAGGCGAACCGGGGGAACUGAAACAUCUAAGUACCCCGAGGAAAAGAAAUCAACCGAGAUUCCCCCAGUAGCGGCGAGCGAACGGGGAGGAGCCCAGAGCCUGAAUCAGUGUGUGUGUUAGUGGAAGCGUCUGGAAAGGCGCGCGAUACAGGGUGACAGCCCCGUACACAAAAAUGCACAUAUUGUGAGCUCGAUGAGUAGGGCGGGACACGUGGUAUCCUGUCUGAAUAUGGGGGGACCAUCCUCCAAGGCUAAAUACUCCUGACUGACCGAUAGUGAACCAGUACCGUGAGGGAAAGGCGAAAAGAACCCCGGCGAGGGGAGUGAAAAAGAACCUGAAACCGUGUACGUACAAGCAGUGGGAGCCUCUUAAUGGGGUGACUGCGUACCUUUUGUAUAAUGGGUCAGCGACUUAUAUUCUGUAGCAAGGUUAACCGAAUAGGGGAGCCGAAGGGAAACCGAGUCUUAACUGGGCGUUAAGUUGCAGGGUAUAGACCCGAAACCCGGUGAUCUAGCCAUGGGCAGGUUGAAGGUUGGGUAACACUAACUGGAGGACCGAACCGACUAAUGUUGAAAAAUUAGCGGAUGACUUGUGGCUGGGGGUGAAAGGCCAAUCAAACCGGGAGAUAGCUGGUUCUCCCCGAAAGCUAUUUAGGUAGCGCCUCGUGAAUUCAUCUCCGGGGGUAGAGCACUGUUUCGGCAAGGGGGUCAUCCCGACUUACCAACCCGAUGCAAACUGCGAAUACCGGAGAAUGUUAUCACGGGAGACACACGGCGGGUGCUAACGUCCGUCGUGAAGAGGGAAACAACCCAGACCGCCAGCUAAGGUCCCAAAGUCAUGGUUAAGUGGGAAACGAUGUGGGAAGGCCCAGACAGCCAGGAUGUUGGCUUAGAAGCAGCCAUCAUUUAAAGAAAGCGUAAUAGCUCACUGGUCGAGUCGGCCUGCGCGGAAGAUGUAACGGGGCUAAACCAUGCACCGAAGCUGCGGCAGCGACACUAUGUGUUGUUGGGUAGGGGAGCGUUCUGUAAGCCUGUGAAGGUGGCCUGUGAGGGUUGCUGGAGGUAUCAGAAGUGCGAAUGCUGACAUAAGUAACGAUAAAGCGGGUGAAAAGCCCGCUCGCCGGAAGACCAAGGGUUCCUGUCCAACGUUAAUCGGGGCAGGGUGAGUCGACCCCUAAGGCGAGGCCGAAAGGCGUAGUCGAUGGGAAACAGGUUAAUAUUCCUGUACUUGGUGUUACUGCGAAGGGGGGACGGAGAAGGCUAUGUUGGCCGGGCGACGGUUGUCCCGGUUUAAGCGUGUAGGCUGGUUUUCCAGGCAAAUCCGGAAAACCAAGGCUGAGGCGUGAUGACGAGGCACUACGGUGCUGAAGCGACAAAUGCC